rnacentral:rRNA from 1 species
UAUGUGAUCGUCUCUCGCAUAUCAAUAAGCGGAGGAAAAGAAACUAACAAGGAUUCCCUUAGUAACGGCGAGUGAAGCGGGAAGAGCUCAAAUUUGAAAUCUUCAAGGUUUUACCUUGACGAAUUGUAGUUUAAAGAAGUGUUUUCUGUUGAAGUUUUGGUAAAAGUUCUUUGGAAUAGGACAUCAUAGAGGGUGAGAAUCCCGUAUUUGACCAUUAUUUUCAGCUGUGUGAUACACUUUCAAAGAGUCGGAUUGUUUGGGAAUGCAGUCCAAAAUGGGUGGUAAAUUUCAUCUAAAGCUAAAUAUUGGCGAGAGACCGAUAGCGAACAAGUACCGUGAGGGAAAGAUGAAAAGAACUUUGAAAAGAGAGUUAAACAGUACGUGAAAUUGUCAAAAGGGAAGCGUUUGACACCAGUGUUGUUUUCUCGAAAAUCAAUUAAAAAGAGUUAGAUUUUGUUGUGUAUUGACCUUAACAGCUUGCAUUUCAAUUUUCUUGCUUUUUUUAAUGCACUUUUCGUUUAACGAGUCAACAUCAGUUUCUUUUGUUGUAAAAAGGUCAUUGGAAGGUGGCUUUCUUUUCGGAGAAAGUGUUUAUAGCCUUUGACUCCUGCAAUCGGAGAGACUGAGGUCUGCAGCGUAGAUCCUUCGGGGUUAGAUACAUUUGUGCUAAGUUAUAGCUUUUUAUAGACAACUUGUUGACUAUGAUUAGUCUUGUAGCUUACUCGCUUAUGCUAUUUUACCUACGCUUAGGAUGUUGAAGAUGUAGCACAUCAU